CCGAGACGACAGGGGAGCGCGAGUGCGCUGAGAGUGCGGCCCCGCCGCAGACCCUCGAACCUGAUCCGGUUAGGACCGGUGGAGGAAGUCGAGUCACUCCCUCG
rnacentral:ncRNA from 2 species